UACGUAGGGGGCAAGCGUUGUCCGGAUUCAUUGGGCGUAAAGAGCGUGUAGGCGGCCAGGUAGGUCGGUUGUGAAAACUGGAGGCUCAACCUUCAGAGGUCGACCGAAACCAUCUGGCUAGAGUCCGGGAGAGGAGAGUGGAAUUCCUGGUGUAGCGGUGAAAUGCGCAGAUAUCAGGAAGAACACCCGUGGCGAAAGCGGCUCUCUGGAACGGUACUGACGCUGAGGCGCGACAGCGUGGGGAGCGAACGGG
rnacentral:rRNA from 1 species